CCCUACUUUCUGCAACCCUAACAGGAAAAGCCUGUGUUCUUCCUCAGUCCACGGGACCCCUCUCUUGCGUUCGCGGCUCCUGCCUGACGCGUGAACGACGUCGUCAGAUUCAUAACCGGCGGCAACAUCAGCGUUGGGGUCCUGAGGCUGCUGCUCAUACUGGGAGAGAUUAUUCAUACUAACGCUCUUUCGAAAGGAAGCGCCUUCCGUCAUGACUCUGACACCAAAAAGCAUGAUACCAUUCUCUCCUCCUUUGGCGGCGGCGCCACCACUAGGACCACAACCAAUAGAGCUCUCCCCGCAUGUCCGAGAGUUAUGGCCGUUGUUUCCACACUGGGAGCAACUGCGAGACAUCCUUGGACUUGGAUGAUGGUGUGAGAAUCAAACGUUUGAAGAGGAAGAGAGAAAUAAUAUCGUGUAUCCCAUGCAAGAGAAGGAAAGGGAAAAUUGAGAAAUGGUGAGGGAAGGCUGACUCGGCUGAUAUAGUAGUUUAAAGAGCAGUUUUUAGGGCUAAGGGAU
rnacentral:misc_RNA from 1 species